GCUGCCAACAUCCUGGUGGAGACGCUGAGGUCACCAUCAGAUGUGAAAUAUUUAAAGUGGAUAUAAAACUAUUUCAGCAAUGCAGACAAUUAAGUGCAUUGUUGUGGGCGAUGGUGCUGUUGGUAAAACAUGUCUCCUGAUAUCCUACACAACAAACAAAUUUCCAUCUGAAUAUGUUCCGACUGUUUUUGACAACUAUGCAGUCACAGUUAUGAUUGGUGGAGAGCCAUAUACUCUUGGACUUUUUGAUACUGCAGGGCAAGAGGAUUAGGACAGAUUAUGACUGCUGAGUUAUCCACAAACAUGUAUUUCUAGUCUGUUUUUCAGUGGUCUCUCCGUCCUCAUUUGAAAAUGUGAAAGAAAAGUGGGUGCCUGAGAUAACUCACCAGUGUCCAAAGACUCCUUUCUUGCUUGUGGGGACCCAAAUUGAUCUCAGAGAUGACCCCUCUACUAUUGAGAAACUUGCCAAGAACAAACAGAAGCCUAUCACUCCAGAGACUGCUGAAAAGCUGGCCCGUGACCUGAAGGCUGUCAAGUAUGUGGAGUGGUCCUCACUCACGCAGAAAGGCCUAAAGAAUGUAUUUGACCAAGCAAUAUCGGCUGCCUUGGAGCCUCCAGAACUGAAGAAGAGCUGCAGGUGUGUGCUGCUAUGAACAUCUCUCCAGAGCCCUUUCUGCACAGCUGGUGUCGGCAUCACACUAAAAGCAAUGUUUAAAUCAAACUAAAGAUUAAAAAUUAAAAUUCGUUUUUGCAAAAAAAAAAA